UGCCCGCGGCUCCCCGCGCGGCGCGGCGCGAUGCGGGGCGGGCUGGGCGCGCUGCCGCUGGUGCUGGCGCUGGCGGGGGCCUCGAGCUUCGUGCUGCUGGCCGUGGCCAUGGCGACCGACUUCUGGUACAUCAUCGACGCCUCCCGCCUGGAGGCGGCCGGCAACGGCACGGCGGCGCUCAGCUCCCACUCGGGGCUCUGGCGGACCUGCCGGCUUAGGAACAAAUGCUACCCUUUGAUCAACCCCUUCUGGCAUGGGAAUGCAAACAUCACCGACUCACACAGACAGCUUUUAUACAUGCACGGGACAUUUGUCAUCCUGAUGCCCCUCAGCCUGAUAUUGAUGAUUUUUGGAGGAAUGACUGGAUUCAUCAGUAUUCUUGCCAGGGCCUACCUACUGCUUCUAAUGACGGGUCUGCUUUUUCUUUUUGGAGCUCUUGUUACGCUUACAGGGAUCUGUGUCUACAUUGCAUAUUCAGCUGCUGCCUUUGAAGAAGCUGUCUGCCUCCUGAGGAGUAAGGAUGUCCUGGUAGAAAUCGACAUCAGGUUUGGCUGGUCUCUGGCCCUAGUAUGGAUCUCGUUUGUCGCAGAAGUGCUCACUGGGGCUGUGUUUCUCCUGGCAGCGAGAGUCGUGGGCCUGAAACGGCGGUGUGAACAGGCGCUUUGAACAGCAGAUCUAUUCUACAGUUUAUAUGAUGCUUUUGAAGUACCUGUGUCACAUGUGGAAGCUUUGAGGUGCCAUCACCACUGAGGACAUGGCUCUGAAGCUGCUACUUGUAAAACCAUCAGAGAAGAGGGAAUAUAAGACUGUAAACCCACAAGUUUUCAUCAGUUAAUGAGUUACUGUGUAUUGGCCAAGCUGUCACAGCUGUAUUUAUAUUCUCAAGUCAUCUCACAACAGUCUUGAGACUUAAAAUGCAUUUAUUUCAGCACACUGCCUCUACAGCCUGAUCCUAUUCCCAUGGUGGUUUAAGUUAAUGGAUUUAAUCUGGAGCUGACCAGAGCUGAUGAACAGUGAAGUGUUAAAAAGCAGCAUCUUAGCCCUUGCGGGAAUUUGCUUCUACCACUCAUUUCAAAGCUAGCUGGAAGACUCCUUGCUUAGGGUUGGAAGGAUGGCAGGCAGCUCCCUGAAGAGCUUUUGUCUCAUUAUUUUACUGUUUUCAUUUUUGCCAGGGACAAGGCAAACACUUGUCAUGGAAGGCUGGGACUCUCCCAGUGUAGUGCUCCCUAGGUGUCAAAAUGGAUUUGUCUGCCAAUAGCCGAACAGCACUUGCUAAUGGCUUAUGCUUCUGGACAACACAUCUGGCUGCUGGAGGAGCUAGCAUAUUUCUCCAUCCAACCUGGGCUCCUCAAAUAUUUAUAAGCUAAUGUUGCCUGUAAUGCCUGCAGCAUACAGAGAGACUGAACCGAACUGCACUGUGGAGGAGUCUCUUUUCUACAGCCUGUUGGAGUUGGCUGCAUCACCGCUGUGAAAACCCUUUGGCAUCAUAAACCUUUUAUUGCCACAGCUCCCACUUGACUAGUAUUAUGCAGUGAAGCAUUUAAUUAUGCAAGAAAACACACAAAAAUAAUUUUAUAACUGUCAGGCAAGAAUCCACAGAAACAACAAACUUUGUUGGACUUGCAAUAACAAGUCUUCUGAGCUAUCUGCCUUUCUGUUUAGAAAGGCAAUAUAUUACAGGUGAGGCAACAGCUGGAGCCAGCAGACUUGGAAGCUUCCUGUCCAUGGCAAACAUCCCAUAUGACAGGACCUUGAUUUGGUCCUCAGUACUUCUGAUAAAAUGGAAUAAUUCUCUGUAAGAUGGAACCGAGAGGAUC